CCUUUGAAAGGCAAAAUUCACACAUGUGCCGACACAGGUGUCGGGGUGCUGUUGGGAACACCCAAUCAGUCGACAGCUGGGGUACAUGGAGGAUCAAC
rfam:Methylophaga thiooxydans DMS010 genomic scaffold scf_1104571000292, whole genome shotgun sequence.